CAGUCGCCACGGGAAUACGUAGGUGGCAAGCGUUGUCCGGAAUUAUUGGGCGUAAAGGGCUCGCAGGCGGUUUCUUAAGUCUGAUGUGAAAGCCCCCGGCUCAACCGGGGAGGGUCAUUGGAAACUGGGAAACUUGAGUGCAGAAGAGGAGAGUGGAAUCCCACGUGUAGCGGUGAAAUGCGUAGAGAUGUGGAGGAACACCAGUGGCGAAGGCGACUCUCUGGUCCGUAACUGACGCUGAGGAGCGAAAGCGUGGGGAGCGAACAGGAUUAGAUACCCCAGUAGUCCCUGUCUCUUAUAA
rnacentral:rRNA from 1 species